UGGCUCUUCACAGUUGUUUCUGUGCUCCCUCUUAGUGCUCUGAAAUCUUGGGCUCCUCUCCCUCUUGAUUGCUGGCUGAAAAUCUUGGCUUGGCACUCCCAAGCUGCACACCACAGCUCUGGGACAAUCUCAAGCUUUAUAUCCCUUCCCAUCUUGGAGGAAUCAGAGGAAGGAAAGUUAGCAGUGGUUGUGACAGAGGGUUUUUCACUUGUCUCUUGGAGCUCCACCUCAGAAAGACGCAGAGCUGCUAUCAAUCAGUAUGAUUGGCCUAGGAUGGGGCAGCUGUGCUGUGAGACCAACCCAUGGCAGACAUCCAGCUGAUCACACUGUGUCCACAUAAGGCAAAUGCUGAGCUGUAAUCCAUCAAGCUGUUUCCAAAUCACCAGAUCUACUCCUUGGAUGAUAAAGCAAUGCAAAUUGCAGAAAUUAGAGGUGAAAUCAAAUGGUUGAAAGGAACCCUGCUUUGAUCACUUUUUGGCUAAAUUGGAGAAUUCAUUAAGUGUUUAGAUCUCAGUUAAUGUGUAGGAAAAAAUGUCUUUCUUUUAGGUUUGCAGAGUAGCUUAGACAUAUAAUGUUUAAAUCUGUGUAUAAUUCUAGCCACAAAAUCUGUGAUCAGAAAAUAUAUUUCCUUUUUCUUCUUUAUUGAUAACAAAAGGAAUGAAGAAAUUAUAGGUCUUUAGAGAUAUCAGUGUCUUUGGAUCAUGUGAUCUGAUGGAAAGAAAGAAAAUCAAUAUUAUCUGAGUGUCAGGGAUAUAGUAAUUGCUUUCACCUAUCUUGUUGUAUUCUCAUGAUAGCUUAUUGGGUGUAACCAACUACAUGUUUGUGUUUCCUCACAAACGUUAAUCCCCAUUAUGAUGAUAUUAGAAAGUGGGACUUUUAAGAGGUAAUUAGGUAAUAAAGGUGGAGCCUUCAUAAGUGAAAUUAGUGCCAUUAUAAGAAGGACCACAGAGAGCUCUCUUAUUCUCUUUCUGCCAUGUGAGGAUGCCAACAGAGAUAGUAGCUUCUAAGAUGGAAGAAGAAUCUUACCAGAAUUGAGCCUGGUCUUGGACUUCCAGCCUCCAGAACUGUGAUAAAUAUUAGGCAUAGAGAAAAGGCCAUAUGAGUACACAGCCAGAAGGUGUCUGCCUACAAGACAAAGAGGGAAAACUUACCUGAAACCAACCCUGAUGGAUAUUGGAUUUCUAAGCUCCAGAACUGUGAGAAAAUUAAUUUUAUGUGCUUUAAGACACUCAAUUUGUGGUAUUCUGUUAUGGCAGCCUAUGCUAGUCAAUUUGCAUUACCAUAAAGCAACACCUGAGAGUGGGUAAAUUAUAAAGAAAAGAAGUUGAAUCGGCUCAUGGUUCUGCAGGCAGUACAGAAGCAUAGUGCUGGCAAUUGCCCCUGGCAAGGGGCUCAGGAAGCUUACAAACAUGGCAGAAGGCAAAGGGAAGCCAACAUAUCACACGUAAGCUCAGGAAGCUUACAAACAUGGCAGAAGGCAAAGGGAAGCCAACAUAUCACGUGGCGAGAAAGACAGAGAAGCGGUAGGUCCCAGACUCUUUUAAACAACAAGACCUCAUGUGAACUGAGGGGAAACUCACUUUCACCAAGGAGAUGGUGCUAAACCACUAAUGAGGGAUCUGUCCCAUGAGCCAAUCACCUCCCACCAAGACCUACCUCCAAUUUUGGAAAUUAUAUUUCAACAUGAGAUUUGGAGGGGACAAACAUCCAAACCAUAUCCCAGCCUGAGCAGACUAACAGAGUCUCUGAAUAAAUCUAUGAAAAUGACUAGAGUAUUAUUUUGUUGAGUGAUUUCUUCUUGUAUUAGGAUUGGUCUCCUUGAAAAUAUUUUUCUCAUAUCUGUUAUAAUAAAAUACUGAGAAUCAUACUAAUUCUACUCUAAACUUAGAUAUUUAAGAGGGUUGGAUUUGACUGAUUGCUCUGAUGUUGCUAACAUAGUCAAAGACUUUUCAAAACUAAAGUGUAAUAUUAUGUCAUGCAACCUUGAGAAAAUUACAAUGGACAAAGCAGAACUAUAAUUCACAAUUCAUCUCCCAAACAAAUUGUGACACCCCUUCUUUCCAAUCCACUGAAAUAUGCCUAAAAUGAGAAAAAAGGGAAAUCUUAAAAACAACAACAACAACAACAAAGAAAAAACAGAAAACGGCAACAUUCAGGCAAAAAAGAAUGUGAGGACUAUGAUGCUGGCAUGCUAAACUUAAUUAAUAAUAAAUGAGAGAGUUUGGAAUGAUUAUAUGUGAAUGAGUUUCAAUCCUGAUAUCUUUUCCCUUCAUUUUUUCACCUCAAAGACCUAGUCCAUCAGCAUCUUUUAUUACUAUCAUCAGCCUUCCAGAGCCUCUGCCAAGAUGUCUGCUGCCUGGAGCCCAUGGGUAUAUGUCCCAAUUAGUCAUAGCCCAGGGUCAAAUGUGUCAUUCCAGAGAGCCAACAGUUCAUAGCUAAUUUACGUUUCCUUGUCAAAAUGCUUAAACCACGUAUUUUAGAGCAGUAACUAGAAAAACUAGGAAAUAAAAACUUGAAAAAUGUCAACGGGAAAUGACUUUUUCCUCGGUUAGCAUCUGCAAUAUACUUAUCUUAAAUAUUUUCUGCCUUUUGACCAUCUUCCAUGGUCGAUAUUUAUAUUAUAAUUUGUCAUUAUCGAAAAUUGAUCCCUGUAUCAAUUUCUGCUUAUCUUUAGACAAUAUUGAAAAUGACCCUGGAUUUUGUUUUUUAAGCUAAAAAAUUCUGGUUCACACAUGAAACUUCCAAAAAAUAAUUGUUUUCCUGUAUCUUGAAGAAAACAAAUUAUGUGCUUCAAGAACUCAAGUUAUUUUUAAUCAUGUUUUUAAAAACAUGAUUAUGUAGUAUCCAUUUCUGUCAUAUUAUUGUCAAACAGAAAACACUUACAUCAUUCGACCACCUUAGGGUGCUUUCCAUUGGAAUCUCUAUAGCACCACUGAUUUUUUUUUUGAAAUAGGUUCUCACUCUGUCACCCAGGUUGGAGUGCAGUGGUGUGAUCAUAGCUUACUGUGGCCUGGGACUUUUAGGCUCAAGUGAUCCUCCUGCCUCAGUCUCCCAAGUAGCUGGGAUUACAGGCACCAGCCACCAUGCCAGGCCUGGUUAGUCAUUUGUAUAUAGCAUGUGUCAAAUUCAUAUAAAUGUUUUGUUAUUGCUAUAACUACUCCAAAGGUUUUGAUAAUUUACAUACACCAUGUUGUACUUACUGUCUCUUGGUCGCUGCGUUACAUGUUGAGAUAAUACUUGUGAAUGAGACAGAUGCCUGGAGGUGAAAAACAAACCUAGUCAAAAGAUAUGCUUCGCAUAAUUGUUUAUAAAGUAAAAAAUUAAAGGUAACUGAAUGCUUAUCAAUAUUGAGCUGUUUUAUAUCUAUACCAGAAAGUAUAAGGCAAUACUUUAAAAAAUGUGUAAAACCUUGUAAACUCACAUAAAAAAAUUUAGAGACAUGUUAACUGACAAAAGGAAGACGAACAUUUUGUUUUGCUUUAUCUCAUUUAUGGGAAAAAUCGACAAAUCAAAACUCCCUUGUGUGUGUGUAUGUGUGUGUGUGUGUGUGUGUACAUGUGAACAUGCCCAUGUGUAAUUAUAAAUAUAUAGAAAAAAGAACUAGAUAUCUUAACUUCUCACUAAAAAAAUACCUUCUGUACAGGAGAAUGGUUUGGAAAUUGAGACUAAUCAAGGAGUAACAUUAAUUUUAUCUGUACUAUUUAAUUUUUUAUUAUCAAGAUUAUAUCCAUGUGUUACUAUUGUAAAUAAAAAAGCAUGAAAGACAAACUUCAAUGAAUAAAAUAGUUAAUAAAGUUUAGAUAUAACUUCAAUUUAAUCAGCAAAUUAUAAGAGCAGCUAGCAAAAUUCUUUCAAAUACUAGAUAUUAUUUCUUUAAGCUGAAGGAAAUACAACUACAUUCAAAAAGCUAGCCAGUUAUUAGGUAAAAUUUCUUGGAAGAAAAAUACACAUAGUGAAAAUCUGGUAAGUAUAAAUUUUAAUAAUAAAGAAAGAGAUUUGCACACAACCAGCCUGUAAAAACAAAAAACAAAACCCCAAAACAAACAAAAAAGCCACCCAAAACAGUAACAACAAUGUAUUAUCUUUAUUUCCAAAGAAGAAAACAAUCAAUGUACAUCUCAACUUCCCUGUGAAAUAGAUAAAAGGCUGAUGAUAAGCAAAUAAAGCAAAACAACAUACAAAAUAACAUAAUUGCUGUUAAGAGUUAGACACAUGUCAAAUAAAAUUUGGAAAAAAGGCAGUAAAGUAAAAAUAAUUAACAAUAAAAUUAAAUAUUCAAAACAAUAAGCAUCUAAAAAUUUCAGAUUGUAGAAAUAAACUGUAGAAAGACGUUGUGAAGAAAAAUAAAAGUAUUUUCUCAUUUUAUUUCAUAUAUAAGAAAUUGCUUAAAAGAUAGAAUGUUAUCACUGAUGAUUAAAAUAGAAAAUGAAGAAUAAUAUUUUAGCAACUUUAAGAAUAGCAAAAUAUGUAUGUAGAAUGUAUGAGAAGUAUUUAAAAAUAUAUUCAAAUAAAUUAUGAUCUAUAGAGACAUAGAUAAACUAAUGAAAAUCAGAAGGUGUAAAAAAAAGACAUUCUACACACUAUGAUACAAGUAACAUCUGAUGAAUUAGCCAUGCUGAUAACUGCCAAUUUAUUAAAUUUUUCUAUUAAAAAUACAUUUUGUAUUAAAAAUAAAUUAUAUGAUAUCAUUGAUUGUAAUCUUAGAUCUCAAAAUGACUAGAGUGUAAUUUAUGCGGUUAUUUACAUAUUUAUAUAGACAUACAUAAACUAAACAUACACAUAUCCUUUUAUGUAAUUGAAAAAUGAAAAAUAGAUGUAUUUAUAUAAGUGAAUAUACAUGUAAAAGUAUAUAUAUUGGUCUGUCUGAGUUUAAUAAAUGCUAUAUAUAUAUAUAUAUAUAUAUAUAUAUAAUCUGUUCAUGUCUGAAUUUAAUUCCUACUUUGAGACUUAUUCCACUGAUAUCAUAAACCUAAUCUGUCAGUUUUAGUGAAGUCUUUUCAAGUUUUCCUCAGUCAAUGCAGGCAUCUAGCUCACUUACCAGAGUUGUUUUUCACCUGUCUGUGCUGAUUUUUCUAAUACAUUUAUGCUUUCAAAAAGUCUCUGAUUUUUAGUAGAUCAUGGCAGCUUCUCUUUUACACCAUACAUGAAGCUCUCUUAGGCCUAUCCCUUUCCAUUGGCUACUUCUAUACCUCUCCUG
rnacentral:SRP_RNA from 10 species